rnacentral:rRNA from 1 species
CUUAGCCGAGAGGUUUGGGUAAUCUUGUGAAACUCCGUCGUGCUGGGGAUAGAGCAUUGCAAUUAUUGCUCUUCAACGAGGAAUUCCUAGUAAGCGCAAGUCAUCAGCUUGCGUUGAUUACGUCCCUGCCCUUUGUACACACCGCCCGUCACUACUACCGAUUGAAUGGCUUAGUGAGGCCUCGGGAUUGGCUUAAGAAUGGAGGCAACUCCUCUCUGGAGCUGAGAACUUGGUCAAACUUGGUCAUUUAGAGGAAGUACAAGUCGUAACAAGGUUUCCGUAGGUGAACCUGCGGAAGGAUCAUUA